AUGAGGUCCUUCUCUGUUGAUGACGUUGACUUGGAAGAUGUUGAGGCCUCAAAAGAUAGAGAUAGGCCGUCACACUUCCUCAGGCUCCCAAACAUUCAGAAUCAGUCUCUUCUAUCUGGUCUUGCUUACUGUAUAGCAUCCUGCAGCAUGAUUUUGGUUAACAAGUUUGUUUUGUCUGGCUAUGGUUUUAAUGCUGGAAUAUUUCUGAUGCUUUACCAGAACAUUGUAUCGGUGACCAUAGUUUCCACACUGUCCCUCUCCGGUGUUAUCUCAACUGAACCACUAACAUGGAAGUUAAUCAAAGUUUGGUUGCCUGUGAACAUCAUAUUUGUCGGAAUGCUAAUUACAAGCAUGUUUAGUUUGAAGUACAUCAAUGUUGCGAUGUUGACUAUAUUGAAGAAUGUCGCCAAUGUUCUUACUGCUUCUGGGGAAACCUACUUCUUUAAGAAGCAGCAUGAUAGACAAGUUUGGAUUUCUCUAAUGUUGAUGAUAAUCUCAGCCAUUGCAGGAGGAGUAACAGAUCUGUCAUUUCAUGCAGUCGGCUAUACAUGGCAGAUCUUAAACUGUUUUUUAACAGCAUCAUAUUCGCUUACAUUGAGGCAUGUAAUGGAUAGUGCGAAGGAAGCCACCAGAUCUGGGAAUUUGAAUGAGCUUUCGAUGGUUUUACUGAAUAAUAUUCUUUCACUACCAUUGGGAGUUAUCCUCGUGCUUGGUUUUAAUGAAGUGGAGUACCUGUUGGAAACGCCUCUCCUGAGGAUGCCUACGUUUUGGCUAGUCAUCACUGCUAGCGGGGUUUUGGGGCUCGCUAUCAGCUUCACUUCGAUGUGGUUUCUUCGUCAGACAAGCGCAACAACAUAUAGCCUUGUAGGUUCCCUCAACAAGAUCCCACUUUCCAUUGCCGGAAUCCUUCUCUUCAAAGUCCGCACGAGCAUGGAGAAUUCCAUCAGCAUUCUGUUCGGGCUAUUAGCAGGAGUAUUUUUCGCCAGGGCAAAAUUGCGCGAAAACUCCCAGUCGUAG
rnacentral:rRNA from 1 species